rnacentral:rRNA from 1 species
UGGGGAAUUGUUCGCAAUGGGCGCAAGCCUGACGACGCAACGCCGCGUGGAGGAUGAAGAUCUUCGGGUCGUAAACUCCUGUCGAGCGGGACGAAUGGCCCGCGACCUAAUACGUCGUGGGAGUGACGGUACCGCGAGAGGAAGCCCCGGCUAACUCCGUGCCAGCAGCCGCGGUAAUACGGGGGGGGCUAGCGUUGUUCGGAAUUACUGGGCGUAAAGGGCUCGUAGGUGGCCAACUAAGUCACUCGUGAAAUCCCUCGGCUUAACCGAGGAACUGCGUGUGAUACUGGAUGGCUUGAAUCCGGGAGAGGGAUGCGGAAUUCCAGGUGUAGCGGUGAAAUGCGUAGAUAUCUGGAGGAACACCGGUGGCGAAGGCGGCAUCCUGGACCGGUAUUGACACUGAGGAGCGAAAGCCAGGGGAGCAAACGG